rnacentral:rRNA from 1 species
GUCGAACGGGGUCCACUAGUGGCAACACUAGGGAAGAUCNNNUGGCGAACGGGUGCGUAACACGUGAGGAACCUACCCCGGACUCUGGAAUAACAGCGGGAAACCGCUGCUAAUACUGGAUAUCGUCAUAUGGUCGCAUGGCCGAAUGACGAAAGAUUUAUCGGUUCGGGACGGUCUCGCGGCCUAUCAGCUUGUUGGCGGGGUAAUGGCCCACCAAGGCAUCGACGGGUAGCUGGUCUGAGAGGAUGAUCAGCCACACUGGGACUGAGACACGGCCCAGACUCCUACGGGAGGCAGCAGUGGGGAAUCUUGCGCAAUGGGCGAAAGCCUGACGCAGCAACGCCGCGUGGGGGAUGAAGGCUCUCGGGUUGUAAACCCCUUUCAGCAGGAACGAAAAUGACGGUACCUGCAGAAGAAGGCCCGGCCAACUACGUGCCAGCAGCCGCG